rnacentral:rRNA from 1 species
CACGCCCUAAACGAUGUCGACUAGUUGUUCGGGAAGGAAACUUCCUGAGUAACGCAGCUAACGCGUGAAGUCGACCGCCUGGGGAGUACGGCCGCAAGGUUAAAACUCAAAGGAAUUGACGGGGACCCGCACAAGCGGUGGAUGAUGUGGAUUAAUUCGAUGCAACGCGAAAAACCUUACCUACCCUUGACAUGCCAGGAAUCUUGGUGAGAGCCGAGAGUGCCUUCGGGAGCCUGGACACAGGUGCUGCAUGGCUGUCGUCAGCUCGUGUCGUGAGAUGUUGGGUUAAGUCCCGCAACAAGCGCAACCCUUGUCGUUAAUUGCCAUCAUUGAGUUGGGCACUUUAGCGAGACUGCCGGUGACAAGCCGGAGGAAGGUGG